rnacentral:rRNA from 1 species
UACGUAGGGGGCUAGCGUUGUCCGGAAUCAUUGGGCGUAAGGCGCGCGUAGGCGGCCCGGUAAGUCCGCUGUGAAAGUCAAAGGCUCAACCUUUGAAUGUCAGCGGAUACUGCCGGGCUAGAGUCCGGAAGAGGCGAGUGGAACUCCUGGUGUAGCGGUGGAAUGCGCAGAUAUCAGGAAGAACACCAACGGCGAAGGCAGCUCGCUGGGACGGAACUGACGCUAAGGCGCGAAAGCGUGGGGAGCGAACAGG